GAUGAACGCUGGCGGCGUGCCUAAUACAUGCAAGUCGAGCGAAUGGAUUAAGAGCUUGCUCUUAUGAAGUUAGCGGCGGACGGGUGAGUAACACGUGGGUAACCUGCCCAUAAGACUGGGAUAACUCCGGGAAACCGGGGCUAAUACCGGAUAACAUUUUGAACCGCAUGGUUCGAAAUUGAAAGGCGGCUUCGGCUGUCACUUAUGGAUGGACCCGCGUCGCAUUAGCUAGUUGGUGAGGUAACGGCUCACCAAGGCAACGAUGCGUAGCCGGCCUGGGAGGGUGAUUGGCCACACUGGGCCUGAGGCACGGCACAGACUCCUACGGGAGGCAGCAGUAGGGAAUCUUCCGCAAUGGACGAAAGUCAGACGGAGGAACGCCGCGUGAGGGAUGAAGGCUUUCGGGUCGUAAAACUCUGUUGUUAGGGAAGAACAGGUGCUAGUUGAAGAGGCUGGCACCUUGACGGUACCUAACCAGAAAGCCACGGCUAACUACGUGCCAGCCGCCGCCGUAA
rnacentral:rRNA from 1 species